rnacentral:lncRNA from 10 species
GGGACUUACAAACAGAAGCCAUGUUUGUGUCUCAGGUGUAGGUGAGACAAGAUGGUGGAUCCCAUGCCGUUACUCUCCAGACCCAGGGCUUAUAUACCAUAGAGAAAGGUGACUCAGAAUGGAUGUCUAGGAUGACUGAAGUAUAAAAGCAUUAAGACUGUUUGACCUGAGGGCAGAAUUUAUGACAUUUAUGCUCCUGGAAGCCCUGUUGGAAAACCAUCUUCUUAGACUUUUAUCUGCCAUCCCAAGGUGACGUGGAGUGAAUCAGCUCUUCUUUCAUCUUGGAAGUAAUAUCUUGACAUGCUGCAAACCAAUGAACCAUCAGAAACUUCACCGAGGUUUCAAACACUUGUACUAUGUGCACUACAACUAUGGACAGAGUGACUACUGGCAGAAAUGAACCCAUGUGAGAAUUCUGGGAUCGAAGAGAACAAGGAGCUAAAGGAAGUCAGUUGGAUGAUGUAGGAGGGAGGCUCCUGUUUUUCUGACAUCACUGCCAGAUGAAGCACCAAAUAAUUAGAAAGCUUUCACUCCAUUUGCCUUGGAUAGAUUUAAAGGCUAGGCACAGUCAUUUGUGUUAGUUAAAAUCUCUGAAACCUUAAAAAUAAAUAAAUAAAUAAAUAAAAUCA